GCCCCAGUAGCUCAGUCAGUAGAGCGUUUACAUUAUAAGCAAAAGGUCUCGAGUGCAAUUCUCGACUGGGGCU
rnacentral:tRNA from 1 species